rnacentral:lncRNA from 1 species
GUGUCAUUCUGCAUGCGAGUGAGAUGACCAAGGGCUGGAGGCUCCUGGACAGCCUUGGGGUGAGGACUGGUUACCAGGGGAACUCACCAUGUGGUUAGAGAGUUGGAACUUUCAGUCCCACUACACCCUCCCCCGCCCACCGCCUCAGCAACCAACCUCCAGGGAGGGGAAAGGGGGCAGAAGUUUGAGUUAAUAACUAAUAGCUAAAGAUGUAAACAAUAAGCCUCCAUAAAACCCCAAAAGGACUGGACUGGUUUCUGAGAGCUUCCAGGUUGUUGAGCACGUGGAGGUUCUGGGAGGGUCCACACCCAGAGAAGGCAUGGAAGCUGACCCCUUCCCCAUACCUUGCUCUUUGCAUCUCUUCCAUUUGGCUGUUCCCGAGUUGUAUACUUUGUAAUAAGUGGGAUUUCCACCCAACAACAAUUCAGCCACACUGCUUCACACAUCUAGAAUCCAUCCAAAAUUGUAAAGGCUUUGUGGCACUACAGUGAAACAGGCAAGAACAUCUUCCAAACAUCCAGCACAAGAGCACACAGGAGGCCGGCAUAAUCACGAAUUGCAGCUGUCUGAAGGGCAGUCACAUAAAAGAGGAGAAGCUUCACCUUUGCUUCACAAGGCACAUCUUGAACCAGGGAUGGAAAUUACAGAGAGGCCAAAACCAGCUCGGUGUGAGCAGGACUGGUAACAGACUGGCCAAGCAACAGAAGGGGCUGCCCUGUGAAGAAGCAAGCUCUCUGUCAAUGGGAGGUGCAAGCUGAGCCUGCACUACCUUUUGUCACGGUUGCUAUGGAAAAGAUUAAGAGCCCGGGCCUGGCUGUUCCCACCUCAAACCACUUCUUAGCUUCAUUUGUUCUCAUAACAACAGGAUAGCCCUUCCUCCUCUGGGGGCCUGGGCAUCAGCAAGUCGGAUGGCAGUGGAAGGUGGAGAAAUGGAAUCCUGCUGGGGGCUCAGGAGGCCUGCCCCCUGAUGCUGCCGUGCACUGCAGAUGUCCUUGAUGAAGAGAAUGAAUGGAAGCUGUCUUUCUCAAUGGCAAAAGGGCAUACUGCUGUUAUUGUCAGUGAGGGGUCAGUAGUUUAAAUGAUGAAACUCUGGGGAUCAGCGUAAAGUAAACCAACAUACUGCAUGUAAGUAUCAAGUAAAUGAGCAGAGACAGCCCCUGGUUUACAAACACCUGACUUAAGCAUCGUCCAUCCUACAGGACAGGGAAGGAGGAAGAAGCUUCGAGAGGCUGGAACAGUUGAGGGAGCGCUGACACGGUAAAGGCCACUUUGCUCAUCAUCACCAGGCGUGCUGCCGAAAAUUUCCACUCUGUUUACUCCCAAGACCUUACUCCUACUAUGUGGAGACACAUUUGAAUAAAAAAUU